GGGGGUAGGCGGAAUCCUGGGCUGUGUCCUCAGCGCCUUGUGCUCCCGGCCAGCGCUGUUGGAUUCGUGCUCCCGGCCGUGCAGCCCCCU
rnacentral:pre_miRNA from 1 species